ncrna:Drosophila melanogaster (fruit fly) microRNA dme-mir-281 precursor (dme-mir-281-1)
CGAAUAAGUGAAUAAAGAGAGCUGUCCGUCGACAGUCCAGAAACUAUUUAAUAUCACUGUCAUGGAAUUGCUCUCUUUGUAUAAUAUUCG